CCUACGGGAGGCAGCAGUAGGGAAUCUUCCACAAUGGACGAAAGUCUGAUGGAGCAACGCCGCGUGAGUGAUGAAGGUUUUCGGAUCGUAAAACUCUGUUGUAAGGGAAGAACAAGUACGAGAGGGAAUGCUCGUACCUUGACGGUACCUUGCGAGAAAGCCACGGCUAACUACGUGCCAGCAGCCGCGGUAAUACGUAGGUGGCAAGCGUUGUCCGGAAUUAUUGGGCGUAAAGCGCGCGCAGGCGGCCUUUUAAGUCUGAUGUGAAAGCCCCCGGCUCAACCGGGGAGGGUCAUUGGAAACUGGAAGGCUUGAGUACAGAAGAGAAGAGUGGAAUUCCAUGUGUAGCGGUGAAAUGCGUAGAGAUGUGGAGGAACACCAGUGGCGAAGGCGACUCUUUGGUCUGUAACUGACGCUGAGGCGCGAAAGCGUGGGGAGCAAACAGGAUUAGAUACCCUGGUAGUCCACGCCGUAAACGAUGAGUGCUAGGUGUUGGGGGGUUUCCGCCCCUCNGUGCUGAGACUACGACAUAAGUACACUCCGCCGUCGGGAGGUACGGCCGGCGACGGACGNGAACGUACAAAGUAGUAAGUUAGUACGGCGUGAGACGUACGACCGACGGACGACGACGAGGGAGGAGG
rnacentral:rRNA from 1 species